rnacentral:lncRNA from 1 species
GUGCCUUUACUAUGUGGUAACAUUGAUUUCUUGAUGUAUACUUGAUGAUAUAUGAAUGAUUAAAAAAAUAUUAAGAUGUGAGAGAAAGAAUGAUUUAGAGAUAUAAAGACACAAAGGUAUCAAGGUACUAGUACCAAGCUUCAAAGGUAAGGAAUCCUCUAUUAGGGAGUCUUGCAGGUAUGCCAGGCUUUGAUGGAGUGUUGCACCUGUUUUCCCCUGGUGAUGAGUAAGUGGUUUGGGGAGCUUAGUUGGACUUGCGUCAUUUUUAAUUCCUGUAACGCAGUCAGCGUAUGUUUGGGUUGGAGCUUGCUAACGAGUUGGGUCAAUUUGGUGUGUUUUCUGGCCAGGGCGUCUGGUAGUGUUGGGGUGGGUCUUUGUUCUAUAAUCUUCUGGUUUCUGGUUUGUUAGAGGUGCUGGGAGUGCUCUUUUGUUUGUCUGGUGUGGUGUAUGUAUCUGUAAUUUUGGCUAGCUAGUAGUGGCAUUUCAUAUGCCGGAAUGUUAUUCUUUAAUAAAGUAAUUUAUUUUGGCUUUGAAAAAAAUUAGUUAAUAGUGCCACCUCAUCAAUUUAAUGA